GUAUACAUCUCGGCAAGGCCAGGAGCGUCGGCUUGUGCAUCACAAAGAUACUUUCAACUUAGGAGGAGUUCGUAUGGUGUUGUUCCAGGGGUGAUGCCCAGUGUUUACGUGAACUUCGCGUUUGGUUCCUGUCAGAACUAUUAUUGUUUCAUAGCAACACGCACCGUCUUUCCAACGUCACUUCUGUAGAGGAAUUUGCAGCUAAUGUUGGUUGACGAACCUCAGUAGUUUUAUGCUUUUCUUAAUUAACUUUUCAUUUAUCAGAUAUGGGUUUGUUAUAUUCUUCACUUUGUUCACAAAUGAUGUUGUCUUUUACGUUUUCGAAUAAAUCAGGGAUAUUGUUACACUGUCUCAUUUGUUAGAUACUUAAUUCACGUUGUGAUUGAA